GGGAGGCCGGGAGGGGUCCCUGGGCGGGGAGUUGCUGCGCAUCUGUUGUGUGUGUGCGUCUGUCUGUCUGUUCAGGUCUGUUUUAGGCUGUGUCUGCCUGUCUCUCUGUCUGGGUCUCUUUCAGGCUGCGUCGGUCUGUCUGUCUGGGUCUGUUUCAGGCUGUGUCUGUCUGUCUGUCUGGGUCUGUUUCAGGCUGUGUCUGUCUGUCUGUCCGGGUCUGUUUCAGGCUGUGUCUGGGUCUGUUUCAGGCUGUCUGUCUGUCUGUCUGGGUCUGUUUCAGGCUGUGUCUGUCUGUCUGUUUGUCUGGGUCUGUUUCAGGCUGUGUCUGUCUGUCCGGGUCUGUUUCAGGCUGUAUGUGUGUCUGCUCUUUGCUUCUGCUCCUGGCUCUGUGUGUAUUUCCCGGGUCCUGUGG
rnacentral:lncRNA from 1 species